AUGUUAGAUGUUAUUGGCAUGGUUUUAUUUGUAAGUUCUAUGGGUUAUAAAGACGGUUUCUACAAUCGGAGGAUCCCAGUGAGAAAUAUUGUUCUGCUAGAUGACACCUAUAAUAUUGUCAAGUUAGUUGUAUGGGGCAAGUUGGUGACUAAUAAUCUAAGUGCACGGGAAAAACUCGCCCAGGAGCGUAUAAUUGUCGUGGCAACAAUGUUACGUGCAGAGCGCAUCGAUCGUGGCCUGCAUACUACAGACUUAAGUAGGAUGCACUUUAACCCGAACAUCACAGUAGUGCGUGAAUUAAGGCAGAGGAUCAACAAUGAUCUUCCUGGACAAUCACCUCCAUGA
rnacentral:rRNA from 1 species